rnacentral:rRNA from 1 species
CUUAUGCGUUGUUGGGUAGGGGAGCGUUCUGUAAGCCUGCGAAGGUGGCCUGUGAGGGUUGCUGGAGGUAUCAGAAGUGCGAAUGCUGACAUAAGUAACGAUAAAGCGGGUGAAAAGCCCGCUCGCCGGAAGACCAAGGGUUCCUGUCCAACGUUAAUCGGGGCAGGGUGAGUCGACCCCUAAGGCGAGGCCGAAAGGCGUAGUCGAUGGGAAACGGGUUAAUAUUCCCGUACUUGGUGUUACUGCGAAGGGGGGACGGAGAAGGCUAUGUUGGCCGGGCGACGGUUGUCCCGGUUUAAGCGUGUAGGCUGGUUUUCCAGGCAAAUCCGGAAAAUCAAGGCUGAGGCGUGAUGACGAGGCACUACGGUGCUGAAGCAACAAAUGCCCUGCUUCCAGGAAAAGCCUCUAAGCAUCAGGUAACAUCAAAUCGUACCCCAAACCGACACAGGUGGUCAGGUAGAGAAUACCAAGGCGCUUGAGAGAACUCGGGUGAAGGAACUAGGCAAAAUGGUGCCGUAACUUCGGGAGAAGGCACGCUGACACGUAGGUGAAGUGAUUUACUCAUGGAGCUGAAGUCAGUCGAAGAUACCAGCUGGCUGCAACUGUUUAUUAAAAACACAGCACUGUGCAAACACGAAAGUGGACGUAUACGGUGUGACGCCUGCCCGGUGCCGGAAGGUUAAUUGAUGGGGUCAGCGCAAGCGAAGCUCCUGAUCGAAGCCCCGGUAAACGGCGGCCGUAACUAUAACGGUCCUAAGGUAGCGAAAUUCCUUGUCGGGUAAGUUCCGACCUGCACGAAUGGCGUAAUGAUGGCCAGGCUGUCUCCACCCGAGACUCAGUGAAAUUGAACUCGCUGUGAAGAUGCAGUGUACCCGCGGCAAGACGGAAAGACCCCGUGAACCUUUACUAUAGCUUGACACUGAACAUUGAGCCUUGAUGUGUAGGAUAGGUGGGAGGCUUUGAAGUGUGGACGCCAGUCUGCAUGGAGCCGACCUUGAAAUACCACCCUUUAAUGUUUGAUGUUCUAACGUGGACCCGUUACCCGGGUUGCGGACAGUGUCUGGUGGGUAGUUUGACUGGGGCGGUCUCCUCCUAAAGAGUAACGGAGGAGCACGAAGGUUGGCUAAUCCUGGUCGGACAUCAGGAGGUUAGUGCAAUGGCAUAAGCCAGCUUGACUGCGAGCGUGACGGCGCGAGCAGGUGCGAAAGCAGGUCAUAGUGAUCCGGUGGUUCUGAAUGGAAGGGCCAUCGCUCAACGGAUAAAAGGUACUCCGGGGAUAACAGGCUGAUACCGCCCAAGAGUUCAUAUCGACGGCGGUGUUUGGCACCUCGAUGUCGGCUCAUCACAUCCUGGGGCUGAAGUAGGUCCCAAGGGUAUGGCUGUUCGCCAUUUAAAGUGGUACGCGAGCUGGGUUUAGAACGUCGUGAGACAGUUCGGUCCCUAUCUGCCGUGGGCGCUGGAGAACUGAGGGGGGCUGCUCCUAGUACGAGAGGACCGGAGUGGACGCAUCACUGGUGUUCGGGUUGUCAUGCCAAUGGCACUGCCCGGUAGCUAAAUGCGGAAGAGAUAAGUGCUGAAAGCAUCUAAGCACGAAACUUGCCCCGAG